AACGAACGCUGGCGGCACGCCUAACACAUGCAAGUCGAACGCUCGGGGGCAACUCCGGGAGUGGCGGACGGGUGAGUAACGCGUGGGAACCUGCCCAGGGGGGCGGGACAACUUCGGGAAACCGGAGCUAAUACCGCAUGAUGCGGCUCAGCAAUGGGCCGCCAAAGAUUUAUCGCCUUUGGAGGGGCCCGCGUCGGAUUAGGUAGUUGGUGGGGUAACGGCCUACCAAGCCUGCGAUCCGUAGCUGGUCUGAGAGGAUGGCCAGCCACACUGGGACUGAGACACGGCCCAGACUCCUACGGGAGGCAGCAGUGGGGAAUCUUGGACAAUGGGGGCAACCCUGAUCCAGCGAUGCCGCGUGGGUGAUGAAGGCCUUCGGGUUGUAAAGCCCUUUCGGCGGGGACGAUAGUGACGGUACCCGCAGAAGAAGCCUCGGCUAACUCCGUGCCAGCAGCCGCCGUAACAC
rnacentral:rRNA from 1 species